rnacentral:rRNA from 1 species
GUGGGGAAUAUUGCACAAUGGGGGAAACCCUGAUGCAGCGACGCCGCGUGAGUGAAGAAGUAUUUCGGUACGUAAAGCUCUAUCAGCAAGGAAGAAAAUGACGGUACUUGACUAAGAAGCCCCGGCUAACUACGUGCCAGCAGCCGCGGUAAUACGUAGGGGGCAAGCGUUAUCCGGAUUUACUGGGUGUAAAGGGAGCGUAGACGGUAUGGUAAGUCAGAUGUGAAAGCCCGGGGCUCAACCCCGGGACUGCAUUUGAAACUAUCAGACUGGAGUGCAGGAGAGGUAAGUGGAAUUCCUAGUGUAGCGGUGAAAUGCGUAGAUAUUAGGAGGAACACCAGUGGCGAAGGCGGCUUACUGGACUGUAACUGACGCUGAGGCGCGAAAGUGUGGGGAGCAAACAGGAUUAGAUACCCGGGUAGUCC